rnacentral:rRNA from 1 species
ACCCCAUCUAGAGAAUGGCUCGGCUCGAGUGCCGAUGAAGGUCGUGACAAGCUGCGAUAAGCUGCGGGUAGGUGCAUGAAUUCCUUUGAUCCGCAGAUCACCUAAUGGGACCUCCUGAACCACGAGUUCAUUCGCAUAAGCGAAAGGGAACCCCCCGAAUUGAAGCAUCUUAGUAGGGGGAGGAAAAGAAAUCAAUGAGAUUCCGUAAGUAGUGGCGAACGAAAACGGAAUAGGACAGGCCGAAUCCCGAAUGGAAACUGAGGGAGAUGUGGUUGCGUUUUUGCCUAAGUCUACGAAGAGGAAGUCGCCUGGAACGGCGCAUCCAUAGAGGGUGAAAGUCCCGUACUCGUAGUAGAUAUGGACAUGUAACGUAAACAGAGUAGCGUGCGUCGGAUAUCGCGCGUGAAUAUGGGAGGCAGAUACUUCCAAUCCUAAAUACAACUCGAGACCGAUAGUUUACAAGUAGCGUGAGUGAAAGCUGAAAAGUAUCCUUGACGGGAUGUGAAAAGAACCUGAAACUAGAUGGGUACAGGCUGAUGAGGCGUUAAAGCGAUAAUGUGAUUUAUUUCACUAGCAGCGUUUCAUCGUGCGUUUCGAAAAAUGCCCCUGGGAGUCUUGAUCAACGGCGAGGUUAAGCGGUAGAACCGCGAAGCCGAAGGGAAACCGACAAGUCCGCAGCCUUAGGGUGAGGGACGAGGUGUGCUCGCCUGGAGUCGUUGGUGGAGGACCUGAAGCCCGUCGAUCUAUGCCUGGCCAGAUUGAAGCCCGGUGAAAACUGGGUGGAGGAUCGAACCGUUGCUGAUGUGCAAAUCGCUCGGAGGAGUUGGGUAUAGGGGUGAAAGUCCAAUCGAGAUGGGCAAUAGCAGGUUCCGCGUGAGACUACUCGUAGGUAGACGUUCGUGGAGAUGGAUAGUGAUGUAGAGCACUGAUUGUGCGUUUAGGGGAAGCGAUUCCUCGGCGUGNUGUCAAACUCCGAAGUUGCUAUCGUCGNAGAAGCGAGCAGUGAGUGAUGGUGGGUAAGCUACCAUUACAAAAGGUGAUCAAACCAGCCUAAUGUUAAGGUCCCUAAGUUACGGUUAAGUGUUAAAUUAAACAGUGUCUAUGGUCAAAAACAACCAGAAGGUGGGCUUAGAAGCAGCCACCCUUUAAAGAGUUCGUAACAGAUCACUGGUCUAGUUUGUAGGCCUGAAAAAUGGACGGGGCUAAAACCGUACACCGAUACAUUAGUCCACCGCAAGGUGAUGAGGUAACGCGGCGUGGUGCUUGGGCGGAAGCAAGGUUUUGAGAUCUUGUGGACCGAGUACCAAUGAGAAUCUAGGGAAGAGUAGCAGCAUAGUGUGGUGAGAAUCCGCACCGCCGAAGGGGCCAGGGUUCCUCGGCAAUGUUUGUCAGCCGAGGGUUAGCCGGUCCUAAGAUUACUCUUAACAUAAGUAAUCGAAUGGGAAUUGCGUUAAUAUUCGUAAGCUAUCCUACAAUAAUGGUGACAGUUCGGGCUAGUUCGUCAGAUCAUAUAUCAGGUCUGCGAAGCGUCUCAUAACUUUCUGGAGAACCGUCAUGGUGAGAAGGAGAGGAAGGCGUGAGUGAGAUAUCGAAUGAGGCCUGGGCUCCAUGAAAAACCGUAGUGAUAUCCGUACCAAGAACUGACACAGGUGCCCCUGGGUGAGUAGCCUAAGGUGUCUCGGGUAAAGUAUCGUGAGGGAAUUCGGCAAAAUGGCUCCGUAACUUCGGGAGAAGGAGUGCCAGCUUAGAGAUAAGCUGGUCGCAGUGACUAGGGAGCUCCGACUGUUUAAUAAAAACAUAGGGGACUGCUAGAUCGAAAGGUUGUGUAUAGUCCCUGAAUCCUGCUCAGUGCUGGUAUCUGAAANNGGGUUUCAACCUNGCGAAGGACCAGUAAACAGCGGGGGUAACUAUGACCCUCUUAAGGUAGCGUAAUACCUUGUCGCUUAAUUGGCGACUUGCAUGAAUGGUCCAACGAGGGCUCCACUGUCCCCGCGAUA